rnacentral:rRNA from 1 species
UACGAAGGGGGCUAGCGUUGCUCGGAAUCACUGGGCGUAAAGCGCACGUAGGCGGAUCUUUAAGUCAGGGAUGAAAUCCCGAGGCUCAACCUCGGAACUGCCCUUGAUACUGGGGAUCUCGAGUCCGGAAGAGGUUGGUGGAACUCCGAGUGUAGAGGUGAAAUUCGUAGAUAUUCGCAAGAACACCAGUGGCGAAGGCGGCUCACUGGCCCGAUACUGACGCUGAGGCACGAAAGCGUGGGGAGCAAACAGG